CUGAUGGUGGCAACUACAGUUCACACUCUGUAAUGGUGUUGGAGGGAUGGAGUAUGGACUAUCCUGUUGGGUGCCAGGUGCUAAGUAAGGUGAAGCCGUGUUCCUCCUUGGCCAGUUUUAUUUGAUCACUGACUGUGUCUCGGGCCCUGGAGCUGAUCUAGUACUGUAGCCUGGUUGCCUGUGUCUCUCCUAGCAGCUGUUUAGUAGGUUGUAGGAGGGACUUAAUUUACUUAGCAUCUUUAAGGCUUCCUUCAGAACUUUGCUGUUAUUUUGUGUAUUAACUGUGGAACUUCCUGGACUGAAUUAUAGCCUUCUCCUGCAGGUAUUUUAAUAGGAGCUCUUUUGAGUUUUGUGACUCUGGAGAUAUGAUUCUGACUGCCAGCCACUUUCUUGUCUUUUAGAGACACUUCAAAAUGUCUUCAGAUGGUACACUUUCUUUCCUUCCAACAUCAUGGUCUGGGCCAAUGGAUACCACCAUAGGAGUUUUGCUGUCUUGGAAAGUACAAUCGCACAUGAACUGUCACAGCAUAUGCUAAAACAAGAUUGGCAAAGCUAUCAUCCACCACAGGAGAACCCAGAUGAGACAACAUAUGGUGCCGAACGUGGAUUCACCCGUGAGUGAGCUUUGGAUUUGGCGAGUGUCCCCCCGAAGAUUCGCAGUAGAAAAGCAGUUUCCUGAACUGAGUUCCAGAGAGGAAAAUGGGUAAGUGGCCCCAAGACCCAGAGUCUUCCACCUCUGUAGGGAGCAACUCGGACUAGACUAAGUUACUGGAAUUAAGACUUAUUCUAUGCAUCUGCUCUCCCACAAUAUGGCGCUGGGAGAGGAGUAAACAACUUCUACACAGCUGCCUCUCACCAAUUUGAUUGACUGAGCUGCAGGAGCUGAUCUUGCUCCUGAUUGGAGGAGAGCAGCGUGCUCGGCGUGUGGGUAGCAGAGUUGGGAUUGGUGGAAGAGGACUAUAAAGGAGGAGAGAGACAACAUGCACCAGGAACAUCUAAAAGGAACAUCCGGAUAACAUCUGAGCAGCCCCCGAGAGAGCCGGCCGGCAGUAUGCCGCUCCCCCGCGGAAGUGGGGAAAGUGGCAGGGGGAGCCGCCCUUCCACGGAGGUGGAAGGAUCGGCAGCCAACCCGGGAAGGGCCGAGCAGACAAAAGAACAGCGCAAGGUCCAGUGUUGUUCCUCCGUGAAGAGGGGGAGCGACACACCUCCAUGAAUCUUCUUCAAAUUUGUACAUGACCAGGACAUCCAUUUAUGGUAGCACCUGUUGCAUCGUCCUUGAAAGUUCUAUUGCUUCUCAGAACUUCACAUUAG
rnacentral:lncRNA from 1 species